rnacentral:rRNA from 1 species
CCUACGGGGGGCUGCAGUGAGGAAUAUUGGUCAAUGGCCGAGAGGCUGAACCAGCCAAGUCGCGUGAGGGAAGACGGCCCUACGGGUUGUAAACCUCUUUUGUCGGGGAGCAAAGCGAACCACGUGUGGUUCAUUGAGAGUACCCGAAGAAAAAGCAUCGGCUAACUCCGUGCCAGCAGCCGCGGUAAUACGGAGGAUGCGAGCGUUAUCCGGAAUGACUGGGCGUAAAGGGUGCGUAGGUGGUUUGGCAAGUUAGUAGCGUAACUCCAAGGCUCAACCUUGGAACUACUACUAAAACUGUUGGACUUGAGUGCAGGAGGGGCAACCGGAAUUCCUAGUGUAGCGGUGGAAUGCGUAGAUAUUAGGAGGAACACCAGUGGCGAAGGCGGGUUGCUAGACUGUAACUGACACUGAGGCACGAAAGCGUGGGGAGCAAACAGGAUUAGAUACCCUUGUAGUC